rnacentral:lncRNA from 1 species
UCAGCUUCAAUUACAGUUAAAAAGAAACCUGCUCCAGUGACUCAGACUUCACAACCACAAAGCAAACCAUUGGCAUUAGAAGCACCUCCUACUGGACCAGCUGAUGCACCCAUCGGUGGAGGACCUCCAAGUGCAUCUGCUGCAGUACCUGGCACACCAAUAGGAGCACCACCUUCUGAUGCACCAGAUGCAACACCUGGCACGCCAAUAGGAGCAGCAACUCCUGAUGCACCAGCUGUGGCGGCAACAGGUGCAGCACCCGCAUCCGAAGCAAGUGAACCUGCUCUAGUAGAAGAAGCUCCUAAUUCAUCAACAGGGAGCAAUCCGGAUCUGAUUGCUUCUGCAG